rnacentral:rRNA from 1 species
UGCGGAUCAAACGGGCAACUGGCUUCAGGAGGGGGUCGCGGCUGAUUAGCUAGUUGGUAGGGUAACGGCCUACCAAGGCGGUGAUCAGUAGCCGGCCUGAGAGGGCGCACGGCCACACUGGAACUGAAACACGGUCCAGACUCCUACGGGAGGCAGCAGUGGGGAAUUUUGCGCAAUGGGGGAAACCCUGACGCAGCAACGCCGCGUGGAGGAUGAAGUCCCUUGGGACGUAAACUCCUUUCGACCGGGACGAUAAUGACGGUACCGGUGGAAGAAGCCCCGGCUAACUCCGUGCCAGCAGCCGCGGUAAUACGGGGGGGGCAAGCGUUGUUCGGAAUUAUUGGGCGUAAAGGGCGCGUAGGCGGUGCGGUAAGUCUUCUGUGAAACCUCUGGGCUUAACUCAGAGCCUGCAGGGGAAACUGCCGUGCUGGAGUGUGGGAGAGGUGAGUGGAAUUCCCGGUGUAGCGGUGAAAUGCGUAGAUCUCGGGAGGAACACCAGUGGCGAAGGCGGCUCACUGGACCACAACUGACGCUGAGGCGCGAAAGCUAGGGGAGCAAACAGGAUUAGAUACCCUGGUAGUCCUAGCCUUAAACGAUGAAUGCUUGGUGUGAUCGGUACCCAAUCCGAUUGUGCCGCAGCUAACGCGAUAAGCAUUCCGCCUGGGGAGUACGGUCGCAAGGCUCAAACUCAGAGGAAUUGACGGGGGCCCGCACAAGCGGUGGAGCAUGUGGUUCAAUUCGACGCAACGCGGAGAACCUUACCUGGGCUCCAAGCGCAAUGGACCGGGGUGGAAACAUCCCUUU